rnacentral:rRNA from 1 species
ACUCCUACGGGAGGCAGCAGUGGGGAAUAUUGCACAAUGGGCGCAAGCCUGAUGCAGCCAUGCCGCGUGUGUGAAGAAGGCCUUCGGGUUGUAAAGCACUUUCAGUUGUGAGGAAAGGUUAGUCGCUAAUAUCGGCUAGCUGUGACGUUAGCAACAGAAGAAGCACCGGCUAACUCCGUGCCAGCAGCCGCGGUAAUACGGAGGGUGCGAGCGUUAAUCGGAAUUACUGGGCGUAAAGCGCGUGUAGGUGGCUUGUUAAGCCAGAUGUGAAAGCCCCGGGCUCAACCUGGGAACUGCAUUUGGAACUGGCAGGCUAGAGUUUUGUAGAGGGUGGUAGAAUUUCAGGUGUAGCGGUGAAAUGCGUAGAGAUCUGAAGGAAUACCGGUGGCGAAGGCGACCACCUGGCCAAUAACUGACACUGAGACGCGAAGGCGUGGGUAGCAAACGGGAUUAGAUACCCUGGUAGCUACGAGU